GACGAACGCUGGCGGCGUGCUUAACACAUGCAAGUCGAACGGUAAGGCCCUUCGGGGUGAAGCUAGCGGCGGACGGGUGAGUAACACGUGGGCAACCUGCCUCAUAGAGGGGAAUAGCCUUCCGAAAGGAAGAUUAAUACCGCAUAAGAUUGUAGCUUCGCAUGAAGCAGCAAUUAAAGGAGCAAUCCGCUAUGAGAUGGGCCCGCGGCGCAUUAGCUAGUUGGUGAGGUAACGGCUCACCAAGGCGACGAUGCGUAGCCGACCUGAGAGGGGGAUCGGCCACAUUGGGACUGAGACACGGCCCAGACUCCUACGGGAGGCAGCAGUGGGGAAUAUUGCACAAUGGGGGAAACCCUGAUGCAGCAAUGCCGCGUGAGUGAUGACGGCCUUCGGGUUGUAAAGUUCUGUCUUCGGGGACGAUAAUGACGGUACCCGAGGAGGAAGCCACGGCUAACUACGUGCCAGCCGCCGCGGUAA
rnacentral:rRNA from 1 species